rnacentral:rRNA from 1 species
GACGAAGGGGGCUAGCGUUGUUCGGAAUUACUGGGCGUAAAGCGCGUGUAGGCGGUUGUCCAAGUUGGAUGUGAAAGCCUUGAGCUUAACUCAAGAAGUGCAUUCAGGACUGGAUGACUAGAGGACCGGAGAGGAUAGUGGAAUUCCCAGUGUAGUGGUGAAAUACGUAGAGAUUGGGAAGAACACCAGUGGCGAAGGCGGCUAUCUGGACGGUUUCUGACGCUAAGACGCGAAAGCGUGGGGAGCAAACAGG